rnacentral:rRNA from 1 species
AGCGAACGCUGGCGGCAGGCUUAACACAUGCAAGUCGAGCGGGCACUUCGGUGUCAGCGGCAGACGGGUGAGUAACACGUGGGAACGUACCCUUCGGUUCGGAAUAACGCUGGGAAACUAGCGCUAAUACCGGAUACGCCCUUUUGGGGAAAGGUUUACUGCCGAAGGAUCGGCCCGCGUCUGAUUAGCUAGUUGGUGGGGUAAUGGCCUACCAAGGCGACGAUCAGUAGCUGGUCUGAGAGGAUGAUCAGCCACACUGGGACUGAGACACGGCCCAGACCCCGCGGGGGGGCAGCGGUGGGGAAUAUUGGAGAAUGGGGGAAGGCGUUAUCCAGCCGUGCCGGGUGAGGAAGGAGGCCUUUGGGUUUGAAAGUCUUUUUUGCCGGGAACUAAAAGGGGGGCACGGAAAAAAAAGCCCCGGCCAACCUUCGCC